rnacentral:rRNA from 1 species
UCGAGCGCGAAAGUCCCUUCGGGGGCGAGUAGAGCGGCGGACGGGUGAGUAAUACGUGGAUAAUCUGCCCUCGAGCCUGGGAUAACCCUGCGAAAGUGGGGCUAAUACCGGAUAAGACCACAUGGCGUAUGCCACGGGGUAGAAGGUGGCUUAUAUUUAUAUGAGCUAUCACUUGAGGAUGAGUCCAUGGCCUAUCAGCUUGUUGGUGAGGUAAGAGCUCACCAAGGCAAUGACGGGUAGCUGGUCUGAGAGGACGACCAGCCACACUGGGACUGAGACACGGCCCAGACUCCUACGGGAGGCAGCAGUGGGGAAUAUUGGGCAAUGGGCGAAAGCCUGACCCAGCGACGCCGCGUGGGCGAUGAAGGCCUUCGGGUUGUAAAGCCCUUUCGUGCGGAAAGAACAGCCCUGAAACGAAUAAUUUCAGGGUUUGACGGUACCGCAGGAAGAAGCACCGGCUAACUCCGUGCCAGCAGCCGCGGUAAUACGGAGGGUGCAAGCGUUGUUCGGAAUUAUUGGGCGUAAAGGGCGCGUAGGCGGUAGUGAUAGUCAGAUGUGAAAUCCUCCGGCUUAACUGGAGAACUGCAUCUGAUACUUCACAACUAGAGUACGGGAGAGGGAAACGGA